UCCGUCGUGGUGUAGCGGCAAGCAUUCGAGACUCUCAUACACGAGUUUCCCUCCCUCGGGAGGGGCUUGGUGUCGGGGGAUCUCGGAACCCGGGUUCGAUUCCCGGCGACGGAA